UGCUAGAAGAUGACGAGUGGCGGACGGGUGAGUAAUGCUUGGGAACUUGCCUUUGCGAGGGGGAUAACAGUUGGAAACGACUGCUAAUACCGCAUAAUGUCUUCGGACCAAACGGGGCUUCGGCUCCGGCGCAAAGAGAGGCCCAAGUGAGAUUAGCUAGUUGGUAAGGUAACGGCUUACCAAGGCGACGAUCUCUAGCUGUUCUGAGAGGAAGAUCAGCCACACUGGGACUGAGACACGGCCCAGACUCCUACGGGAGGCAGCAGUGGGGAAUAUUGCACAAUGGGGGAAACCCUGAUGCAGCCAUGCCGCGUGUGUGAAGAAGGCCUUCGGGUUGUAAAGCACUUUCAGUUGUGAGGAAAAGUUAGUAGUUAAUACCUGCUAGCCGUGACGUUAACAACAGAAGAAGCACCGGCUAACUCCGUGCCAGCAGCCGCGGUAAUACGGAGGGUGCGAGCGUUAAUCGGAAUUACUGGGCGUAAAGCGCACGCAGGCGGUUUGUUAAGCUAGAUGUGAAAGCCCCGGGCUCAACCUGGGAUGGUCAUUUAGAACUGGCAGACUAGAGUCUUGGAGAGGGGAGUGGAAUUCCAGGUGUAGCGGUGAAAUGCGUAGAUAUCUGGAGGAACAUCAGUGGCGAAGGCGACUCCCUGGCCAAAGACUGACGCUCAUGUGCGAAAGUGUGGGUAGCGAACAGGAUUAGAUACCCUGGUAGUCCACACCGUAAACGCUGUCUACUAGCUGUGUGUGU
rnacentral:rRNA from 1 species